UUUGCCUCUUCAUUAGAGGCUAGUAUGAAUGGUUGAACGAAAUACAAACUGUCUCACUCUUAAAAAUUUAAUAAUUUAGCUUUCUAGUUAAAAGGCUUGAAUGUUAUUAGAGGACGAGAAGACCCUAUAGAACUUUAUAACUUUUUAAUUAAAUUUAUAUAGAAAAAUAUUAUUUUUUAAUUGAGUAGUUAUUUUGUUGGGGUGACAGGAAAAUAAAUAUAACUUUUUUAUUAUUAAUACAUUGAUUUAUGAAUAUUUGAUCCAUUAUUAGUGAUUAUUAAAAUAAGUUACCUUAGGGAUAACAGCGUAAUUUUGUUGGAGAGUUCAUAUCUAUAACAAAGUUUGCGACCUCG
rnacentral:rRNA from 1 species